rnacentral:rRNA from 1 species
CCUACGGGAGGCAGCAGUAGGGAAUAUUGCUCAAUGGGGGAAACCCUGAAGCAGCAACGCCGCGUGGAGGAUGAAGGUUUUCGGAUUGUAAACUUCUUUUUUUAGAGAAGAAAAUGACGGUAUCUAACGAAUAAGCACCGUCUAACUCCGUGCCAGCAGCCGCGGUAAUACGGAGGGUGCAAGCGUUAUUCGGAAUCACUGGGCGUAAAGAGCGCGUAGGCGGGAUAGCAAGUCAGAUGUGAAAUCCUAUGGCUUAACCAUAGAACUGCAUUUGAAACUGUUAUUCUAGAGUAUGGGAGAGGUAGGCGGAAUUCAUGGUGUAGGGGUGAAAUGCGUAGAGAUCAAGAGGAAUACUCAUUGCGAAGGCGACCUACUAGACCAUAACUGACGCUGAUGCGCGAAAGCGUGGGGAGCAAACAGGAUUAGAUACCCCGGUAGUC